rnacentral:lncRNA from 1 species
GAGAGAAAAGAUAGCAGGUAUGUUGAAACACUUCUUAAUCUCUCUAAAAUUAGUAUUACCUGCCGGUUCCACCGUUUGUUGGUAUUAAUUUGUUUUUCCUCUAUGAAUCCCACCUUCUGAUCACAUGUCUUUUGAUUUGUUUGGCUUGUGCGACCACAGGAAAGAGGCAGAAAGGAUUGCAAUCGAUUUUGUGUUUUCAUUGACUGGAAUAGAAUAACCGAUAUAUAGAGUGAAGGAAGAUAGUAUUUUGCAUGUGGGUUUUCGUCUGGGUCACAACAAUUACGAUUUGUAGGUCACAACAAUCGUCAUUUGGGUGUGAAAAUAAUUUGUCUUUCAGACAUAAAAUCUGACCCUCGUCAUUCUCUUUUCUGUUAUCAUUGACUUUUACCAGGUUACUGAUUUAGAAUUUUGUUAGUUGUGCAGCUAUUAGAAGGACAAGAAAAUCAACAGUGUUGCUACCACGAGUCUUGUGUAGCCUGUGUGCAAUGGAGGUCCAGUCUUCCAGUUUUGCGGUGACAACUUUUGGUAAAGCCUUGACAACAUGGGGAAGAUGGGUUAAUGCCAAUAUACACUCUAGCAAAACUUUGGUAUUUUAAUCUGGGUAUUCUCUUCUUUUUUCAGGUAAAUUAACAUCAAAGUAAGUUACAGUUAUGUUCAAAUGCUAUAAAAUCACCAAAAUCAAUUGGAAUUUAAUGAUUUAUAUAUUUAUGUAGAGGAUGGUAGUGGAAUUCAGGAUUUCAAUGUGACAAUGAAGUGGAGCCUACAAAGAAGAGAAGUUAUCUAACAUCAAAAUCAAUCUGAAUCUUGGUAAUUUAUACAUAUUAUAUUUUUAUUGUUGCAACUAUUGACAAUUUUGAAUGUCCAUAAAAGCAUUUUUUUUUCGAAAACUAACCAAUAGAAGCAUUGCACUUUCAUUUUUUUUUUUCAAAACCUAACCAAUUUUAGCAUUGCACUUUGUAUUUUCUUGAAAAACUAACCGGUAACAGUUUCUUUUUCCUUUUAAAAACUUACCAGUUUUAGCAUUGCAAUCUUAAAUUUCUUUAAAAAUUAACCGUUUUUAUCAUUGCAUUUCCAUUUUUUUUAAAACCGUUUUCGCAUUGCACCAAUAAGCCAUCAGGUACGAGUUGUCCAAAAAAAAGAAAUUUUUUCGUUAGUUGUUGUUGCUUAGCCUACUCUAUUGGCCUCGACCUUACUGCUUUUUUUUCUUAAUUGUUUUUUGUUAUUGAAAUCACUGCAUUGAUAUUGCUAAUAACACAAUUUUUUUCAAGUUGACAGCAAAGAACAAGUUCUAAUAACAAUUUUUUUUCAAGUUAUUGAAAUCACUGCAUUGAUAUUGCUAAUAACACAAUUUUUUUUCAAGUUGAGAGUAUUAAUUUUAACUUUGUGCAUAUAUGAGGUAUGAAUCUGGAUCUUCGACUCCAUUUUGAGCUUUUUAUGGGUAGAGUCUCCACGUUUUUGAAAAAAAAGGCCUAUUCUUCUCUUGCGAUUGCCGCUUCACUGUCAUCCUUCUCUAAUUCUCUUUCUUUGUAAACCAGGUUUCAGUUCGUUUCCUUUCUCCACUUCAUGUGUGGCUCUGCGAAUCUUCCUCCACUUCUUCACUUUGUAAGUGAUUUUCUUCCACUCUUCAAAGUUCAAUCUUAUACACGAUAGUUUCUAUAUAUGAUCUUUUAUUGUUAUGAUAAGAGGAAAUCACUCCUGGCACCAGAAUUGAAUCCCGUGUUCCUCUUAAUUUUCUCUUAUUUGCUUUUGUGGCUAAGGGUUAAUAGGAUUUCUUUAUUUAUCUAUUUUUAGGGCUUAUCGAAAUUGAAUUUGUGGUUUUUGUUGUGUAAUUUGCCUUCAGAUAAAUCUUUGUUAAUGUUUUCAUUUACAGAAGUAAGCUGAAUUGGAUUGUAAAGCUAUUUUUGCAAGCCUCACACGAAAAAGUUAACAAUUGUUGAUAGCAAGACGGGUGAGAGAAAAGAUAGCAGGUAUGUUGAAACACUUCUUAAUCUCUCUAAAAUUAGUAUUACCUGCCGGUUCCACCGUUUGUUGGUAUUAAUUUGUUUUUCCUCUAUGAAUCCCACCUUCUGAUCACAUGUCUUUUGAUUUGUUUGGCUUGUGCGACCACAGGAAAGAGGCAGAAAGGAUUGCAAUCGAUUUUGUGUUUUCAUUGACUGGAAUAGAAUAACCGAUAUAUAGAGUGAAGGAAGAUAGUAUUUUGCAUGUGGGUUUUCGUCUGGGUCACAACAAUUGCGAUUUGUAGGUCACAACAAUCGUCAUUUGGGUGUGAAAAUAAUUUGUCUUUCAGACAUAAAAUCU